rnacentral:lncRNA from 1 species
CCGUGCUCAGAAUCUGUGUGAUGCCCAUGGCCCUAGUUACCAUCUAAGGUCUUGCACUUGUCCAUGUCUGUGAUGCUUUCUGAAGCUGUGCUGAUGUGAGUAGCUGCCACCUGUGGCCAUACUGAUGUCUGUGGUCUGGACAGCCUCUGAAGGACUUGUCCAUCUCCAUGAGCUACAGCACAGGGAGCUGUGUUUGUGGUCUGUGCUGUUGCCAGCUGCCAGAGUGUGACAGACAUUUAAAGAGAGCAUGCAUGCCAAGAGGAGCCCAUGAUCUUUCAAACAAGAAGCAGGUUCUGCUGGGAGAAACUAGCAAGAGUUCCCUUAAUAUUUUACAAGAACAUCAGUCUAGGCUUCAAGACACACCAAGAGACAGUUGAGGGCUCAUACAUAGACAAGAAAUGUUCCUUCAUUGUCAAUGUCUCUAUCAGAGGUCAGAUCUUUUCUGGUAUCAUGACUAAGAUGAAGAUACAGAGGACCAUAGCCAUCCACUACAUCCAAAAGUGAGACCUUCUCAUGAAAGGGUCAUUUGACCCCCCAGAGGAGUCGUGACCCACCAGUUGAGAACCACUGUUCUAAGAAGCCUAUUAAACUCUUGCUGUCACUUGGUUCUGGGUCCUCCACACAAGAGUGAAACAGAACCAGACAGUGAUAAAUGAGUACUAGAAGCCGAAGAUCAUGAUUUCGCACAAACAACCACUUAACAAGCCCAGCUGGCAACUGCAACUGAAAUCAAUAAGAAGCUAUUGGGCAAAGUGUGAAGGGAAAACAAAAAGAAAGAAAGAAAUGGAAGGCUACAUCCAAGCUGAGUUUCUACCAAACUGGAGGGGGUUCUAGUAUCACUAAUCAGAAACCUAAGUACAUCCCUCUGUCUUUACAAAGGAGGGAGAUUGCAGAUACCCUUUGUGGAAACUUAAACUGAACUCAGCAAGUUCUGAAAUUGAACUCCCAGCAAGCAAGCAGCUAGCAGCACUAAGGAUAGAGAAUGAACCAUGUUACAAGCAAGAUUGUGGAAACCGAGAGCAAUCCAAACCAGAACACCGGACUUCCUGAUUAGACUCUAUUGAUUGCAACUGAAAUAUUACCAUGUGAACCAACACUCAGAUUGUAUGUUUCUAGGAAUCCUAAUGCUGUUGAUCACGAAAUCAUUAAUUACCAAAGUGAAAUACAGAAAUUAAUCAGAAAAAUCUUAUAUUCCCAGCAUGAAAAACACUGAGAACUGGCUAAGGAAGUUUUACUGACUGGUAUCGCUGGUACAACUGCUUAGGCACUGAGACCAACACACCCGCAUAACAGACAAAAAGUGAUUUAAGCUGGGAAUUCAGGCAGUCAUAGGAACUCAGCUUCAAUCCAAGGAAACAGAAAUUGCCUGUGCAUGCGAAAAGUAUAAAUCCAUUAUCAAAGCAUCAUUUCUACAGCCACUAAUAUUAAUUUUUGGAGAUAACACAUUUUAAUUUUUGAGUUUAAGAUCAAACUGCCUUGUAAAUUUUAAAAGGUGGCAAAUGCCAUUUUGAAUUGUUUAUCAGGAAAACCAAAAUACAUCUUUAGUAAAUUCAUUCUCAACAUAACAUAUGUGCCUCUUAAACAUGUAAAAUAUCUUUCUAAAAACUCUUGCUGUCACAGUGCUGCUAGUGUGAGUAUAGUAACCUUCCAAUCUGUUUUCUUAAAAUAGUUUUUAAGUAGCAAUAAUUUUUCCUAUUUUCUAGAGUUUAAUAAAGAAAUUAUUUGGUUUUGG